CCUACGGGAGGCAGCAGUGGGGAAUAUUGCGCAAUGGGCGAAAGCCUGACGCAGCGACGCCGCGUGAGGGAUGAAGGUCUUCGGAUCGUAAACCUCUGUCAGCAGGGAAGAACGGUCACUGUGCUAAUCAGCAGUGAAUUGAUGGUACCUGCAAAGGAAGCACCGGCUAACUCCGUGCCAGCAGCCGCGGUAAUACGGAGGGUGCGAGCGUUAAUCGGAAUUACUGGGCGUAAAGCGCUCGUAGGCGGUAUGUCAAGUCAAGGGUGAAAUCCCCGCGCUCAACGUGGGAACUGCCUUUGAAACUGGCAGACUGGAGUGUGGGAGAGGAUAGUGGAAUUCCAGGUGUAGGGGUGAAAUCCGUAGAUAUCUGGAGGAACAUCAGUGGCGAAGGCGACUAUCUGGCACAUAACUGACGCUGAGGAGCGAAAGCGUGGGUAGCAAACAGGAUUAGAUACCCUAGUAGUC
rnacentral:rRNA from 1 species